UGGGGAAUAUUGGACAAUGGGGGCAACCCUGAUCCAGCAAUGCCGCGUGUGUGAAGAAGGUCUUCGGAUUGUAAAGCACUUUCGACGGGGACGAUGAUGACGGUACCCGUAGAAGAAGCCCCGGCUAACUUCGUGCCAGCAGCCGCGGUAAUACGAAGGGGGCUAGCGUUGCUCGGAAUGACUGGGCGUAAAGGGCGUGUAGGCGGUUUACACAGUCAGAUGUGAAAUCCCCGGGCUUAACCUGGGAGCUGCAUUUGAUACGUGUAGACUAGAGUGUGAGAGAGGGUUGUGGAAUUCCCAGUGUAGAGGUGAAAUUCGUAGAUAUUGGGAAGAACACCGGUGGCGAAGGCGGCAACCUGGCUCAUGACUGACGCUGAGGCGCGAAAGCGUGGGGAGCAAACAGGAUUAGAUACCCUGGUAGUCCACGCUGUAAACGAUGUGUGCUAGAUGUUGGGUAACUUUGUUAUUCAGUGUCGCAGUUAACGCGUUAAAGCACACCGCCUGGGGAUACGGGCCGCAAG
rnacentral:rRNA from 1 species